rnacentral:rRNA from 1 species
CCCUUAGAUGUUCUGGGCCGCACGCGCGCUACACUGACGAAUGCAACGAGCUUAUAACCUUGGCCGAAAGGUCUGGGUAAUCUCCAAAUUUCGUCGUGAUGGGGAUAGAUUAUUGCAAUUAUUAAUCUUCAACGAGGAAUGCCUAGUAAGCGCAAGUCAUCAGCUUGUGUUGAUUACGUCCCUGCCCUUUGUACACACCGCCCGUCGCUCCUACCGAUUGAAUGGUCCGGUGAAGCGUUCGGACCGUGGCCUUUGGACGGUUCGCCGUCUGUUGGCUGCGGGAAGUUCGUUAAACCUUAUCAUUUAGAGGAAGGAGAAGUCGUANCA